ACAAAUUUUACACAGUGCAAAUUAACAAAACCUCUUAAUAGUCUUAAUACACAAUAUUGUAAAGAGCUGAGCAAUGCUGGAUAGGUCCAAGCCAGUCUGUUGUUUCGGGUUAUUUUACUUAUCCAUAAAGCAGUUUGUUAUUUUGGGUUAUUUUACUUAUUCAUAAUUCGGCCUGUUGUGUAUUCGAGGUAAAUCUUAAAUAUUUUAUUUAAUGAUUAUUUAUAUUUUCCAGCUAUGCUUACAUCAGAAAUUCAGAAUACAAUGACAAAAGAAAGGCAACGCAAAACAAGAGAUUCUGAAAAUAAUGAUAAGCAAGAUGAACGUAACAAGAAGCGCAGGAAAAAAUAUAUGGAACAGAAGGCUGAAAAAAUGCAAGCUACACAGACGGAAGAUCAUUUGGCUCUUAAUACAAGUUAGAAAUUAAUUUUGUAUUUCAAUGUUUAUAUGUUUUUUAGACAAUUUGAUUAUAUCAAGCAUGCAAAAUUUUACGUCAAUUGUUUAUUUAGCAGAAAAUCUUCAAGAAAUGACUCAAGUGGAUAUAGUCAGAGACAAACGUAACAAAAAAAGACGUGAAAAGUACAAAGAAAGAAAGUCGAAUUAUGCUAUUGACUUUAAUCCACCACAAAUUGCUGCACCAUUGGUUAACGAUGAACAUACAGGUUUGUAUAUUCAUAUUGGUGUCACAGGCUAUUAUGAAUAUGAAAAACAUAAUAUAUUGAUUCUAAUUAUAUAGUAAUGACAAUUCUUGAAAUAUAGUCAAGGAAAACAUAAUAUAAUAUAUACUAUCAUGUACUGGCUUCAUUCAUUUAAUUUGUAAUGCAGAAAAUCUCCUACAACGGACUCCAGUUGAGAAAACCAAUGAUAGACGUAAUAAACAAAGGCGUGAAAAGUACAAAGAGAAAAAGUUACAGGCAUUACA